AGAGUUUGAUCCUGGCUCAGAACGAACGCUGGCGGCAUGCCUAACACAUGCAAGUCGGACGGAUGGCUUUGGCCAUCAGUGGCGCACGGGUGAGUAGCGCGUGGGAACCUGUCCUGUUGUGGGGGAUAACCGAGGGAAACUUCGGCUAAUACCGCAUGCGCCCCUGGGAGACUGGGGGGAAAGAUUUAUCGCAGGAGGAG
rnacentral:rRNA from 1 species